CUCAUUUUUUCCCUCAAUAUUUCUAACCCUACCUCCCCGCGCUCAGGAAAAAAACUAAAAGACCCUCGAGACAAAAAUGCAGAAUGAAAACCGUCAGGCCACAAUAAAAGAACGGCCAGCACUCCUUUCGUUACCUCGAUUAUGCUUUCUCUGCUUGCCUCCUAGUGAAUUGUUCUUAGGGUUCUGUUGUCCUUCUUAGCAAGCUUCAGUUAAUGGGAAUUGUAGUUCGUUUCCAAUGAUCCAUGGAUGAAGGAGAUUGGCUCUUGAUGUGCUUCAUUUUUGGAAAGAAGUACUCAUAUUCCUAACUGGACAUAUUCUUUCUAGUUGCAAAUAGGUCCUUCAACGUAUGUUACUCCACCUGAAAUAUAACUCCAUUACAUUAUGGAUGAAUAGUUUGUUAUCCAGAGAUAUAAAAUAUAUCUGUAGUGUGACAGAGCACCUAUCUAUGUCUACAUUUUUUCCCAUUGGUUUCUUCUAAUUAGUUGGAUGUUGCUGGAGCAAGAGAAUAGGUUUCUACCUGAAGACAGAGCACCUAUCUAUGUCUAUACUUUUUUCUCUCUGCUUUGAUAUCCUUCACUUCAAAUAGGGUGAGGAUGGGCAUCUGCCAGGAGUUUGUACUCCCAACCAGUAAGUCUACAUCUGUCUUGAUGCGUACAUAAUAUCAAUUGUUAAAUGUUUGUGGUAUUUGCUGUUGUUUUACCUGCUAUGUUAAUGCUACCCGGUUGUGAGUUACCUACUUACAUUAAUAUGUGAACUAUCUUUAUAUGUGUGGAGGUGGCGGGUUGAUAGGUAGUUGUGUGUUUCUCCUCAGACCACACGUAUGAGAUUAAGUUGGUUUUGUUGUUGUUGUUGUUGGAGUGGUGAGCUUAUACCUUCAAGACAGACACCACACAAAUUGUUCUUCUUCCUCAAUUUAAAGGCACGCUCCUAGAGUUACUGAUUAGAUCUGAACAAGUAGAUAUUGAACAUAAGGUGAAAUACUCUUUAGUAAAUUAGUGUACAGGGCAAACUGUGGUGGGUUGAAGAGGUAAAACACAUGUACAAAAACAAAAGCAACAAUGCACGGUUAACCAUGUAGCUACAUGUUCCUAGUGUACAAAAAUAUAUGUAUCCCCCUACUAAUUAAAGACAAAGAAAUAGAAGAAAAAACCUUAUACAACAAGAUAUUAGAAAAAACUAAGCAAAGAUGGGCAGUUUCUUACACUUUUUAUGAGCAGGAGAUUCAUUUUUGUGAGAAAAGACAUCACCUAAUUUUAUCAAAAGGGACAACAAUAGUUAGGAAAUCACAGCAAAAUAACUUUUGUUUAAUACUUGCUGAUUUUGAUAAUGUAUCUUACUUAUUUGAGUAUUUUGAAGAGCAGAUGGAAAUAUUAGACAAUGCUCUAUAAAGGAAAGAAAGUGAAAGUACCAGCAUAUCAUAGGAGUUAGGACUAUUCUCAGAUUCAUCUAUUACAAGUACUUCAAAUAUUCUUAUUUUCCCUUUUAAUCUUCUAAUCUAGAAAUAGAUUUGGAGCAUUGACUGAUUGAGAGAUUUGGGUUCUUUGUCUUUUUUUUAAAAAAUUUAUAACACUUUUGAUUGCUAAUUAAUUGCAUGGGUUUAGUUUAAUCUUCUAUUAAUUUAGUGAACCAACUACUGCUUAAUGUAUUUUCUAGUAUUUUUGUGACUCUUUGCUAAUUUAAAUUGUACAAAUAUAGUUCCUAGAUCUGAUAGUAUAUGCUAGACAUUGGUUUUGUAAUUUUGGUGCUUGAAUCUACUAGUGGAGUUCCUACAUCUGAUAGAUUGCUAUGGAGCUCCUCAAUAUUGGAAUUUCUCGGCCCAUCUCAAGAUCAAGAAUUUGAAGUCAUGAAGAAUCAUCUUUGAGAUAGUGUAAAGCGAGUUGAAUUUGAAAGAAGAAGUUGAAGUACAAGAAGAACCUACUUUAUUUUUCUAGCGGUUGUUUACAUAUGUUUCCAUUUGUACAUGCAACAAUUCCAUUUUUGUUUUCUCUAAGUGAAAAAAUAAUAAUAUCAUACAAUUUGGAUAUGUAUACAUUCGGUAAUGUGACUCUUUAGUUCUUUGUAAUUAAAGAGUGAUGUUUUAUAUGAGCAUUGACUAUUUUGUA